UAGCCAGUAUUAUUUGGUUGGAUGGAUUUUGAUUAUGGAAUAUAUACGACUUAGGGGUAUGAGUCCAACUGGUAGUUACAGAUUAUUUGGUUUCUUAACUUAAUAUUAGACUUGGUUACUUAUGUUGGAUUUGAUUAUGAGUGGUUCACCAUGAGCCAUAAGUUAGGGUAUAAAUCAUACCCAGGACUCGUAUGGUGGAUAAUAUUUAAAUCCUCCUGGUAUUGUAUUAUGCCAGGGAUAUGGGUCAUUG
rnacentral:lncRNA from 1 species